AGGACCCAGGAGACACCUUCCCAAACAGCAGGGGUUGUGUGCUUUCACACAGCAGUACUGUACAAGGAAAACCCCGUCGGAUCUGUUAUUGCGGGAUACUUGUGAAAUAUACAUAGGAUUCUUUCUUAUGGCUGCAUCCCGGAUCUGGAAAUUUUACUUGGGGACCAAGAGGAUCUGAAGGGCUACAUGUAUACAGAAGAUUUGCAAGCAAGACUCCGAUUCUUGUCAUAGAGCUUUCAGACUUCCUCACUUACCGACCUUUUUUCCUUCCUCCUUCUUUUUUUAAUUAAAUUUCUUCCCUCUUUUUCUGCUCUCUCCUCUCUCAGUGUCUCCUUUUCUAUCAGCCUCUUCUUUUUUCUCCUAGUCGUCUUUCCCCCCCUGCUCUGCACCUGGAUUGUAUCUUCACCAAACAAUCGGGCACUUUGAGAACUAACUGGAGGCAGUCUUGUAGGGAAGAGCUGUAUGGAAUUAUCUGCUUUUAUGGUGAACUUGGCAUUUGUGAAUGGGUAUCUUGUUCACGAUAUUAAUUGCUAGCAAAAGCAAGAAAAAGAACACAGGAGUAAAACGUGGAUUUUUCUGAAUACGCAUUGUGAUGACCAGCAAUUACCUUACCGACUGAUAUCCAGAGGAGAAUAAUUUGGAAGACUGUUGUGGGGAAUCCCAGCAAAGCAAGAAGGGGUGAAGUGACUGAGAAGGGCCAGUGCCAGUGGUAUGUGACUCCAGGAUCUACUGAAAGAAGUUUGCAGGUCCAUUUGUAGAUCUUGAUCUACACAUCAGAGACUCAAUAGCUAAUUUGACUCACUAAGAUAAAAGUUUUAUUUAUCUGAUUUUAACAGAUGCAAUAAAAUUAUUCAAAUUAAUCUUUA